UGAGGGAAUAUUUGGGGUCAAUGGGCGAGAGCCUGAACCAGCCAAGUAGCGUGCAGGACGACGGCCCUAUGGGUUGUAAACUGCUUUUAUACGGGAAUAAAGUGAUGCCUGCGGGCGUUAUUGCAUGUACCGUACGAAUAAGGACCGGCUAAUUUCGUGCCAGCAGCCGCGGUAAUACGGAAGGUCCGGGCGUUAUCCGGAUUUAUUGGGUUUAAGGGGAGCGUAGGCCGGAGAUUAAGCGUGUUGUGAAAUGUAGAUGCUCAACAUCUGCACUGCAGCGCGAACUGGUUUCCUUGAGUACGCACAAAGUGGGCGGAAUUCGUGGUGUAGCGGUGAAAUGCUUAGAUAUCACGAAGAACUCCGAUUGCGAAGGCAGCUCACUGGAGCGCAACUGACGCUGAAGCUCGAAAGUGCGGGUAUCGAACAGGAUUAGAUACCCUGGUAGU
rnacentral:rRNA from 1 species